AUUGAACGCUGGCGGCAGGCCUAACACAUGCCAGUCGAGCGGACGAAGGGAGCUUUCUCCCGGAUUCAGCGGCGGACGGGUGAGUAAUGCCUAGGAAUCUGCCUGGUAGUGGGGGAUAACGCCCGGAAACGGGCGCUAAUACCGCAUACGUCCUGAUGGUGAAAGUGGGGGAUCUUCGGACCUCACGCUAUCAGAUGAGCCUAGGCCGGAUUAGCUAGUUGGUAGGGUAAGGGCCUACCAAGGCGACGAUCCGUAACCGGUCUGAGAGGAUGAUCAGUCACACUGGAACUGAGACACGGUCCAGACUCCUACGGGAGGCAGCAGUGGGGAAUAUUGGACAAUGGGCGAAAGCCUGACCCAGCCACGCCGCGUGUGUGAAGAAGGUCUUCGGAUUGUAAAGCACUUUAAGUUGGGAGGAAGGGCAGUAAGUUAAUACCUUGCUGUUUUGACGUUACCAAAAGAAUAAGCCCCGGCUAACUUCGUG
rnacentral:rRNA from 1 species